GUAGGUUCACCGCGUCAUGGUUCUCCUGCCGUCGGCAGGAGCUAAGAGGGAAUCCGGUGGAAGACCGGAGCUGUCCCGCAACUGUAAGCGGUGAGCCUUUCGCCCACGAUGUCACUGGCAGAGAUGCCGGGAAGACGGGCCGAAGGCCUCGACCCGCAAGCCAGGAGACCUGCCUGACAUCGUGUGAUUCCG
rnacentral:ncRNA from 1 species